AGCGAACGCUGGCGGCAGGCUUAACACAUGCAAGUCGAACGGGCACUUCGGUGCUAGUGGCAGACGGGUGAGUAACACGUGGGAACGUACCUUUCGGUUCGGAAUAAUACAGGGAAACUUGUACUAAUACCGGAUACGCCCUUUGGGGGAAAGAUUUAUCGCCGAUUGAUCGGCCCGCGUCUGAUUAGCUAGUUGGUGAGGUAAUGGCUCACCAAGGCGACGAUCAGUAGCUGGUCUGAGAGGAUGAUCAGCCACACUGGGACUGAGACACGGCCCAGACUCCUACGGGAGGCAGCAGUGGGGAAUAUUGGACAAUGGGCGCAAGCCUGAUCCAGCCAUGCCGCGUGAGUGAUGAAGGCCUUAGGGUUGUAAAGCUCUUUUGUCCGGGAAGAUAAUGACUGUACCGGAAGAAUAAGCCCCGGCUAACUUCGUGCCAGCAGCCGCGGUAAAAC
rnacentral:rRNA from 1 species